GGAUGCGAUCAUACCAGCACUAACGCACCGGAUCCCAUCAGAACUCCGAAGUUAAGCGUGC
rnacentral:rRNA from 5 species